rnacentral:rRNA from 1 species
GACGAACGCUGGCGGCGUGCUUAACACAUGCAAGUCGAACGGAAAGGCCCUGCUUUUGUGGGGUGCUCGUGUGGCGAACGGGUGAGUAACACGUGAGUAACCUGCCCUUGACUUUGGGAUAACUUCAGGAAACUGGGGCUAAUACCGGAUAGGAGCUCCUGCUGCAUGGUGGGGGUUGGAAAGUUUCGGCGGUUGGGGAUGGACUCGCGGCUUAUCAGCUUGUUGGUGGGGUAGUGGCUUACCAAGGCUUUGACGGGUAGCCGGCCUGAGAGGGUGACCGGCCACAUUGGGACUGAGGUACGGCCCAGACUCCUACGGGAGGCAGCAGUGGGGAAUAUUGCACAAUGGGCGGAAGCCUGAUGCAGCAACGCCGCGUGCGGGAUGACGGCCUUCGGGUUGUAAACCGCUUUCGCCUGUGACGAAGCGUGAGUGACGGUAAUGGGUAAAGAAGCACCGGCUAACUACGUG